rnacentral:rRNA from 1 species
UGCCCACUGAAUUAUUUUAAAGGGCUGCAGUAUAUUGACUGUACAAAGGUAGCAUAAUCAUUAGUCUUUUAAUUGAAGACUUGUAUGAAUGAUUUGAUGAAAUAUAAACUGUCUCUUUAUUAAUAAUAGAAAUUAAUUUUUUAGUUAAAAAGCUAAAAUUUAUUUAAAAGACGAGAAGACCCUAUAGAGUUUUAUAUUUAAAUUUAUAUUAAUUCUUUAUAAAAUUUAUAUUUAAUAUUUUUUUAAUUAUUUUAUUGGGGUGAUAGAAAAAUUUAUUAAACUUUUUUUAAAAUUUUUACAUUAAUAUAUGAAAUUUUGAUCCAUAAUUUAUGAUUAAAAGAUUAAAUUACCUUAGGGAUAACAGCGUAAUUUUUUUUUUUAGUUCUUAUAAGAAAAAAAGUUUGCGACCUCGAUGUUGGAUUAA